rnacentral:lncRNA from 1 species
UGAAAUAUUGAAUAUGCUUCUCCCCAAACUCUCUUCUCCUCUAAACUCUCUUUCCCCAACUCUUAUCUUUCUCUAUCUCUAAUCCCCACUUCUAAUCUCUAUCCCAAACUUCUUAUCUCACUCUCUACUCUCUAUCUCUAUCUCCAUCUCUAUUCUCAACUCUAUCUCUGUCCCUAUCUCUUUCUCUUACCUUUUUUCUUAUCUCGAUUACGUC